GGGCCGGUAGCUCAGGGGUUAGAGCACCCGUCUCAGCUACGCGGGAGGUCGGCGGUUCGAAUCCGCCCCGGCCUA
rnacentral:tRNA from 1 species